ACUUUAAAUCCUUUAACGAGGAACAAUUGGAGGGCAAGUCUGGUGCCAGCAGCCGCGGUAAUUCCAGCUCCAAUAGCGUAUAUUAAAGUUGUUGCGGUUAAAAAGCUCGUAGUUGGAUCUCGGCGAGCAGGGGAUGGCUCGGAGUUUUCCGUUGCUGUCCCAUUCGCUCGUGUUUUUGACGGAGGCUACAGGUUGCCCUUUGUAUGAGUGUCUGUAGCGCCGUCAGGUUUACUUUGAAAAAAUUAGAGUGCUCAAAGCAGGCUUUACACGCUUGAAUAUUCGUGCAUGGAAUAAUGGAAUAGGAAGUCGUUCCUAUUUUGUUGGUUUUCGGGAAUUGACUUAAUGAUUAAUAGGGACAGCCGGGGGCAUUAGUAUUCAGACGACAGAGGUGAAAUUCUUGGACCGUCUGAAGACUAACUACUGCGAAAGCAUUUGCCAAGAGUGUUUUCAUUAAUCAAGAACGAAAGUUAGAGGUUCGAAGGCGAUCAGAUACCGCCCUAGUUCUAACCAUAAACGAUGCCAGCUAGCGAUCCGCGGUUGUUACUUGAAGGCUCCGCGGGAAGCUUCCGGGAAACCAAAGCUUUUGGGUUCCGGGGGAAGUAUGGUUGCAAAGCUGAAACUUAAAGGAAUUGACGGAAGGGCACCACCAGGAGUGGAGCCUGCGGCUUAAUUUGACUCAACACGGGAAAUCUCACCAGGCCCGGACACUGGAAGGAUUGACAGAUUGAGAGCUCUU
rnacentral:rRNA from 3 species